AAGGGAGAGGAUAAGGUAGAAAUCUACCCUCGGGACGGGGAUAGCUGCGGGAAACUGCUGGUAAUACCCGAUAAUAUCUUUGGAUCAAAGGUGUGAUUCCGCCUGGGGAUGAGUCUACUUCCUAUUAGCUAGUUGGCAGGGUAAUGGCCUACCAAGGCAACGAUGGGUAGCGGGUGUGAGAGCAUGACCCGCCUCACUGGGACUGAGAACUGCCCAGACACCUACGGGUGGCUGCAGUCGAGAAUCUUCGGCAAUGGGCGCAAGCCUGACCGAGCGACGCCGCGUGCGGGAUGAAGGCCCUCGGGUUGUAAACCGCUGUCGUAGGGGAACAAAUGUAAGUGGGUUCUCCCAUUUACUUGAGUGAUCCUAGGAGGAAGGGGAGGCUAAGCUCGUGCCAGCAGCCGCGGUAAGACGAGCUCCCCGAACGUUAUUCGGUAUUACUGGGCUUAAAGAGUUCGUAGGCGGCCCGACAGGUGAGGUGUGAAAUCCCUCGGCUCAACCGAGGAACUGCGCUUCAAGCCGUCAGGCUUGAGGGAGAUAGAGGUGAGCGGAACAGAUGGUGGAGCGGUGAAAUGCGUUG
rnacentral:rRNA from 1 species